AAAUAAAUAAAUUUAUUUCUCUUCCUUCUUUCCUCUAGGAUUUCACUAAUGCUAUCUUGAAUGUUGUAUUUCUCUCUCUCUUUUUCUUUUUUGUAUUUGCAUUUUCGGAAUUCUUUGUUUGCUUGCAUCUGAUUAAGACUUUUAGAUGAAUGAUGGGUGUAUAUUAUUUUUUUUCAAUUUGAUAUAACUGCAGAUAAUGGUCCAAUUGAUUUUAUUUAAUUUUCAUUCUCAAUCCAAAUAUCUUCUCCUAAACUUCACCACCUCUUUCUUCUCCAUUAAUUUUUCAGAUUUGCUCCUAAUUUCAUUGUUUGCUCGGCCUUCAAUACUUGCAAGUAAGCAUUUCUUAUUCUUUUAUAUAAUUUCUUGCUGAAUAUUCUUAUAUAUGCACAUGCAUGUUAAUGUAAAUGUUGAAUGUGAAAUUUGGGACAUUAGGACAGUUGACCAAACAAGUGAAAUGAUAAAACUAGCAACUUUAAAAAAUUAUUACAUAACUCUCCCCAUGGAAUUGAUACUAAG
rnacentral:lncRNA from 1 species